UACGGGGGGGGGCAAGCGUUGUUCGGAAUUACUGGGCGUAAAGGGCUCGUAGGCGGCCAACUAAGUCGGAUGUGAAAUCCCCAGGCUUAACCUGGGAACUGCAUCCGAUACUGGAUGGCUUGAAUCCGGGAGAGGGAUGCGGAAUUCCAGGUGUAGCGGUGAAAUGCGUAGAUAUCUGGAGGAACACCGAUGGCGAAGGCAGGUCUCUGGGCAUUAACUGGACGCUGAGGAGCGAAAGCAUGGGGAGCGAACAGG
rnacentral:rRNA from 1 species